AUUGAACGCUGGCGGCAUGCUUUACACAUGCAAGUCGGACGGCAGCACAGAGAAGCUUGCUUCUUGGGUGGCGAGUGGCGAACGGGUGAGUAAUAUAUCGGAACGUACCGAGUAAUGGGGGAUAACUAAUCGAAAGAUUAGCUAAUACCGCAUAUUCUCUGAGGAGGAAAGCAGGGGACCUUCGGGCCUUGCGUUAUUCGAGCGGCCGAUAUCUGAUUAGCUAGUUGGUGGGGUAAAGGCCUACCAAGGCGACGAUCAGUAGCGGGUCUGAGAGGAUGAUCCGCCACACUGGAACUGAGACACGGCCCAGACUCCUACGGGAGGCAGCAGUGGGGAAUUUUGGACAAUGGGCGCAAGCCUGAUCCAGCCAUGCCGCGUGUCUGAAGAGGGCCUUCGGGUUGUAAAGGACUUUUGUCAGGGAAGAAAAGGCUGUUGCUAAUACCGACAGCUGAUGACGGUACCUGAAGAAUAAGCACCGGCUAACUACGUG
rnacentral:rRNA from 1 species